GGACCCUAUCUCACUUAGAAACUCCGACCGUAAAGCAUAUUAAUAAGUGAAGAAAAAGAAACUUAGAAGGAUUUUUUUAGUAACGGCGAGCGAACCGGGAGUAGCCCAACUUUAGAAUCGGGUGCAUCCGUCGUUCGAAUUAUAGUCUGGAGAAGCAUCCUCAGUUGCGGACCGGCCCCAAGUCCCUAGGAGUGGGGUGCCUGAGUGGGUGAGAGCCCUGUUGUGCCCAGAACCUAUCUCACCGUAAGGCACUAUCUACGAGUCGGGUUCUUUGGGAUUGCAACCCAAAUCAGGCGGUGAAUUUUGUCCAAGGGUAAAUACGGGCGAGAGAUAGAUAGCGAACAAGUAUUGUGAUGGAAAGAUGAAAAGAACUUUCAAAAGAGAGUCAAAAAGUGCUUGAAAUUAUCGGGAAGAAAGAAAAUUGGGGCCAGCGAUGCACCUUAUUGGGAUAUGGAACAACGAUGAGCCGGCCCGCCGAUCUACUCGGGGCAUGGACUAGCGUAGAUUGGGGGGUGGCCAAAGCCCAAGCUCUUAAUACGCUCGUGGAAUGUCGUCUCCUCGAUUAUAGCAGGAAGCGCAUGCCUUUAGUGUGCUUUGGAAUUUGCAUACUCCAGACUCUGGCCUGUAGGUUCCCCAUUCGACCUACCUUAAAACGUGGACCAAAGAGUCUAAUAUGUGAGUGAUUCAAUGGGUGACUAAACCCAUAAUACGUAAGGAAGAUAAUUUGUGGGAUCACCUUGAAGGGUGCACCAUCGAUCGACCUUGAUCUUUUGAGAAAGGUUUGAGUCUGAGCAUACCUAUUGGGACCCAAAAGAUGGUAAACUAUGCCUGACCAGGGCAAAGCCAGAGGAAACUCUGGUGGAGGCCCGCAGCGAUACUGAUGUGCAAAUCAUUCGUCUGACUUAGGUAUAGGAGCAAAAGACUAAUCGAACCGUCUAGUAGCUGGUUCCCUCCAAAGUUUCCCUCAAAGACAGUUGGAACUCACGUGCAAGUUCUAUUGGGUAAAGCCAAUGAUAAGAGGCCAUGGGGCCCAAUGUCCUUGACCUAUUCUCAAACUUUUAAUAGGUUGGACGGCAAAACUGCUUUGUUGAGCUGCCCUAUGGAAUAGAAAGCUCCAAGUGGUCAUUUUUGGUAAGCAGAAUUGGCGAAGCAUGACAAACCAGUAGUUGGUUUACGGUGCACAACAAUGCGCUAACCUAAAACCCACAAAGGGUAUUGGUAAAUUAAGACAGCAGGACAAUGGUCAUAGAAGUCGAAAUCCGAUAAGAAAAGUGUAACAACUCACCUACCGAAUGAACUAGCCCCAAAAAUAGAUGGCUUUUAAGCGCGCAACCUACACCCGGCCAUCGGGGCAAGUGCCAAGCCCUGAUGUGUCGAAGGGCAUGACAGUUGCUAUAAAACCUUAGGCUAAAUCCUGGGUGCAGUGGACGUCGGUGCAGAUCUUGGUUGUAGUAGCAAAUAUUAAAAUGAGAACUUUGAAGGCUGAAGAGGGAAAAGGUUCCAUGUGAAUGACACUUUCACAUGGGUUAGUCGAUCCUAAGGUUUGGGGGAACCCUGACAGAUAGCGCUUUUCACGCGUACUCCAAUAGGCAAUCAAGUUAAAAUUUCUGAACCAGGACAUGGCAGUCGAUGACAAUGUUAAUAUGUCUGGAGAAGUCAGAGGGAUCCUCGGUAAGAGUUAUCUUUUCUGUUUAACAUCCUACCCACANNNNNNNNNNNNNNNNNNNNCAGCAGCUAGAAGAGCACCGCACGUCGCGUGGUGUCCGGUACGCUCCCAGAGACCCUUGAAAUCUGGAGAAACAAAUGACAUACAUGCCCAGUCAUACUCAUAACCACAUCAGGUAUCGAAGGUGAACAACCUCUAGUUGAUGGAAUAAUGUAGGCAAGUAAAUUCAGAAAAAUUGAUCCGUAACUUAAGGUAAAGGAUUGGCUAUGAGGCCUGGGCAUGGGGUCCCAGUCCCAAACCCGUUGGUUUUCGGUGGACUUCUCAAGCUACUUUUACAAUGAGAGUGGGUCGCCAUGUGCUGACCGGUGGAAGAACUAGGAACGGUUCCUUCGAGGGCCUUCCCUGCGCGUUGAACAACCAACUCAGAGAUGGUACGGACAAGGGGAACCUGACUAUUUAAUUAAAACAAAGCAUUGUGAUGGUCUCAACGGAUGUUCACGCAAUGUGAUUUCUGCCCAGUACUCUGAAUGUCAAAGUAAAGAAAUUCAAUCAAGCGCGGGUAAACGGCGGAAGUAACUAUGACUCUCUUAAAGUAGUCAAAUGUAUCAUUAUCUAAUUAGUGAUGUAUAUGAAUAGAUUAACGAGAUUCCCACUGUCCAUGUCUACUAUCCACCAAAACUACAGCCAAGAGUACGGACUUGGCAGAAUCAGUGGGGAAAGAAGAACCUGUUAAGCUUGACUCUAGUCUGACUUUGUGAAAUUACUUGAGAGGUGUAGUGUAAGUGGGAGCCAAAGACAAAAAUGAAAUACCACUACUUUUAACGUUAUUUUAAUUAUUUAGUGUAUUGAUAGUGGGGCACUACCCCUCAUUUUUGACACAAGGCUCGCUCUACGGGCUGAUCCGGGUGGAAUACAUUGUCAAGUGAGGAGUUUGGCUGCGGCGGUACAUCUGUUAAAAGAUAAUGUAGGUAUCCUAAGAUAAGGUCAACUAGGACAAAAAACUAGUAUGGAACAAAAGGGUAAAAGCUUGUUUGAUUUUGAUUUCCAGUACGAAUAAGAACCGUGAAAGUGUGGCCUAACAAAUCUUUAGACCUUCGGAAUUCAAAGUUAGAGGUAUCAGAAAAGUUACCAUAGGGAUAACAGGCUUGUGGCAGCGAAGCGUUCAUAGCGACGUUGCUUUUUUAUCCUUCGAUGUCGGCUCUUCCUAUUAUUGUGAAGCAGAAUUCACCAAGUAUUGGAUUGUUCACCCACUAAUAGGGAACGUGAGCUGGGUUUACACUGUCGUGAUAUAGGUUAGUUUUAACCUACUGAUAACAGUGUUGCAAUAGUAAUUCAACCUAGUACGAGAGGAACCAUUGAUUUACAUAAAUGGUCAUCGGGCUUUGUUGAAAAGCCAGUAGCACAAAGAAACCGUGUGCUGGAUUAUUAUUGAAUGCCUCUAAGUCAGAAUCUAGGAUAGAAGAGAUACAUGCACCCUCUGUCCACUUGCCAACCUACAGUAGGGGCCUUGUCCCCCAAGGGCAUGUGUCAUUGGAUAAGCCAUCACGGUGGAAGGGUCGCGGUGGCCACGUUUAAGUACAUUUUUAAUCAAAAAUGGGUAGAAUCCUUUGCAGAUGACUUAAAUAUGCAAUCGGAUAUUGUAAGUGGCAGAGUGGCUUUGCUUUCCCAAUCCACUGAGAUUCAGCCCUUUGUCGCUUCGGUUCUU
rnacentral:rRNA from 1 species